GCUGAUACACGACAGGUGAUUCUCAUUCCCUCUAUUUAGCAGGUGGGGGCUGUGCUGUGGGUGUUUUCCUGCUGUAGCCUCACCUUGCUGCUGAGCACAGAGUAGGAGCCUGCUGGGUGCCAGCCUGUGCUCUCAUUUUCUGGAACUACUGAGUUCAUGGCCAUUAACCUCCUAUCUCGUGUUUGGAGGACAUCAGAGACCUGCACACGUACGACAGUGUGUCAUCUCAUCGGAGUGAAAACCUUUCAGGCUGGGACAGCUUCUCACUUAUCAUGGAGGGGGAAAAAAAUCAUUCUUAUUUAUGUUAUCUGCUAUCAAUAUGUAAUAACAACGUGCAAGUAGGAUGGAAGAUGUGAUUUCACCUCCAGCUGGACUUUGCAUGUAAGGUUCUCCUAAUGAGAAAAUAAGUUUAUUCAGUGCCUGCCAUAAUGAAUCCCCUGUUUGAUAUGAAGUUGUUUUGGCUCUGCAUUCAUAGGAAUGAUCUGAAAUAUACAGCUGUUGGAAUUCAUUUUAUAUAGGGAUAGAGAUAAUAAAAUUGCAGAAAAAAAAUGUAACAAUAACAGGAAAAGAAGGAAAUGGUGUUGAGGAUUUUUACUAUAUUGAGUCAUAUGUUGUAUUAUUGUUACUUUUCUUGUAAUGCUCUGGAUGUCAUCAAUGUCCAUAUAAUGCAAAAAUGUAAUACAAAAUUAAGGUAGAUGUCAUCCUAGUACUAUUUCCAAUUAAUCAGAAACAUAAAGCACUGGGAGUGCUUAAUUAAAAGGGAG
ensembl:lncRNA